UGGCUGCAGUGGGGAAUAUUGCACAAUGGGCGAAAGCCUGAUGCAGCGACGCCGCGUGGGGGAUGAAGGCCUUCGGGUUGUAAACCUCUUUCAGCAGGGACGAAGCGAAAGUGACUGUACCUGCAAAAGAAGCACCGGCUAACUACGUGCCAGCAGCCGCGGUAAUACGUAGGGUGCAAGCGUUGUCCGGAUUUAUUGGGCGUAAAGAGCUCGUAGGCGGUUUGUCGCGUCGGAUGUGAAAACCUAUGGCUUAACCAUGGGCCUGCAUUCGAUACGGGCAAACUAGAGUUCGGUAGGGGAGACUGGAAUUCCUGGUGUAGCGGUGAAAUGCGCAGAUAUCAGGAGGAACACCGGUGGCGAAGGCGGGUCUCUGGGCCGAUACUGACGCUGAGGAGCGAAAGCGUGGGGAGCAAACAGGAUUAGAUACCCUGGUAGUC
rnacentral:rRNA from 1 species